GUCUUGGUCGAUUAGUGGUUAAAUCAUCUCGUUGUGGCGCCUAUUAGCACAGAACCGAGAAGCCGAGGGCUCGACUCCCUCCCGAGACA